rnacentral:rRNA from 1 species
ACCUACGGGAGGCAGCAGUGGGGAAUAUUGCACAAUGGGGGAAACCCUGAUGCAGCGACGCCGCGUGAGUGAAGAAGUAUUUCGGUAUGUAAAGCUCUAUCAGCAGGGAAGAAAUAGCGACCUUUGGGUCGCCAGACGGUACCUGACUAAGAAGCCCCGGCUAACUACGUGCCAGCAGCCGCGGUAAUACGUAGGGAGCAAGCGUUGUUCGGAAUGACUGGGCGUAAAGGGUGCGUAGGCGGUUGUACAAGUUAGAAGUGAAAUACCCAGGGCUUAACUCGGGUGCUGCUUCUAAAACUGUAUGA